rnacentral:lncRNA from 1 species
CCUUGCAACCUUUUGGGUUUUUAAGCAUCUUUACGUUCUAAACAGUUAACACUACCAUAUCAUCUCUACUAUAGAGACAAUCAAUUAGAUUACAAUAAUCCAAUCAUUAAUUAAUAAAGAACAAUGUUUUGUCAAACAAAACAUUCAUCCAUCUCUUACUAUAGUGACGGAAUUAAGUUCCUUAAAAUUGGAAUGUAAAGACAAUCUUUGGUUUUUCCAAUUUCUUUGGUAGUUCAUAUGAGGAAGUAAGUACUAUCUGCUUUCGCAGAGAUCUAUAUUUUAUUCACGUUCCGAAUGUGAAGCACCUUUUCCUUCUCUCAUAUAUCUUCUACUUCUUAUUAGUCAUACUUUUACAACGAUUGUAAAACAUAGUUACUAAUACGGAAUCAAGCAUUCAAGUAGAAGAAC